CCUCUUUGAGAAAUUUAAAAUAAUACUUAGUAUUACUAGAGUUUAGCACCUCCUCAAAGCCU
rnacentral:tRNA from 1 species